GUGAGGAAUAUUGGUCAAUGGACGGAAGUCUGAACCAGCCAUGCCGCGUGCAGGAAUAAGGUCCUAUGGAUUGUAAACUGCUUUUAUUCGGGAAUAAACCUCUUUACGUGUAGGGAGCUGAAGGUACCGAAGGAAUAAGCACCGGCUAACUCCGUGCCAGCAGCCGCGGUAAUACGGAGGGUGCAAGCGUUAUCCGGAAUCAUUGGGUUUAAAGGGUCCGCAGGCGGGCUAUCAAGUCAGAGGUGAAAUCCCACAGCUUAACUGUGGAACUGCCUUUGAAACUGAUGGUCUUGAAUUAAGUGGGCGUUGGCGGAAUAUGACAUGUAGCGGUGAAAUGCAUAGAUAUGUCAUGGAACACCGAAAGCGAAGGCAGCUAACGAUACUUAUAUUGACGCUCAUGGACGAAAGCGUGGGUAGCGAACAGGAUUAGAAACCCUUGUAGUCC
rnacentral:rRNA from 1 species